ensembl:lncRNA
UUGAAAUUAGAGCAGCUUGCAUGCAAUAAGGAAAUUUGUCCAGAAUGGAAUUUCAUUUUUAAGCCAAUGCAUAGAAGAGCAGUUGCGAUCUGAGCCUCUGAUGGAUAGUUCUUUUAGGGUUGCCUCUCAGCUGGCUCUCUCUUUGCACUUCCUGUUCAUUCUGGAACUCUUCUCUGGCUCUCAAAAAGAGGGAAGCUUCUUGAUCCGGGACUCCAGAAACCACAUUUUUCGUGGCAGUCAGAGUUGGAGCCAUCUUGAUUUCCCCGUCUAGGCCUCUCCUAUAUACAUCUGCCAGCCUCGGACUACAUAUGCCAGACUGGGGCAGUUAGGGACCUUGUCUUUGCCAUCCAGGACGUAGGACCUUUUUCUGGGACCUGAAACUCCCAGAGCUGGUACUCUGUGAAGACUGGCUUGCUCUCCUUUGUCAGAACCCAAAAGAGCUGUCACAUUGGCAAGCAGGCAGACAGCAGCUUUAUCUAAUCUUCUUCUGGUCUUAUAUUUGUUUCUUGAGCAUGGCAUGUAGAGGCCUCCAAUUUGGCAUCAGUCCAAGGGAUAGGGCUGGCCUCUCUAUGUCUCAGCUUUCCUUAGUAAACAUAUGCUGCCAGGCCAAAGGAAGGAAAGAAACACUUUUAGAGCACAUGCUCUGUGUCAAGUGCUUUCACAAAUGCCUCAUUAAAUCCUCGCAAUACACUGAAGAGGUAGGUCUUGCUUUGUUUUUGCAGAGACGGGGUUCCACCAUGUUGGUCAGGCUGGUCUCGAACCCCUAACCUCGUGAUCCGCCCGCCUCCGCCUCCCAAAGUGCUGGGAUUACAGGCGUGAGCCACCGCGCCCGGCCAACAUUUCCAUUUUUAUCGUUAAGUUAUGCACAUCAUGACCAAAUCUUAGUCGGUGAGGGAGGUAAAGACCCUUAUGGGCAAGAAGAGGUUAGCACUUAUCAAACGUAUGCCCCUCUGGUGGUGCAAUGCAGAGAUUUCCCUCAUAUUUCCAGGGAAUUUCCCUCGAAUUUCAUUUCCCACCCCGUGAAAGCAGCAAGGUUAGGAAAGUGGGGACGGGGCAGGGGGGAUAGUUACGAUCAAAAGGAAGGAAAAAAAAAAAAAAAAACAACUGAGAAAAGCAAAGGGGGAAAAUAAACUGAGCCUACUGAGGAGAUGCAGCGAAGGAAACGCUUCCGCGGGGCCGCUCGGUGCCUCGGGGCCUACCGGAGACGCGGGAGCGCGCCCCCGGCGGCGCCGGCCUCGAGCGGUCUCACGGAGUUGUAGUGCUCGCCGAGGCUGUAGGCGUAGUGCAGGUAGACCAGGAUGAUCGGCUUCUUGACGUACUCCUCCCCGAUGACCAAGGUGGGCGAGUUGGCCUGGAUCACCUCGAUGGGGGUCUUCAGGACGUGCGACAGGGCCCUCAGCUCCAGCUGGCCUCCCCAUGCCGCGGUGCGCACGAUGUUGUCGCAGUAGAUCAUGAAGUCGUCGUAGCCGAGGGGGUCGCCGGUCUCCGGGUUGCUGAAGAAGGGCAGGAACUCGUCGACGUGCUUCUGCAUAUAGCUGGCGGUGCGGCAGCGCAGCAUCUCCACCGACACGC